rnacentral:rRNA from 1 species
AUGAAGAAGGAGGAUGCAGCAAUCAUAAUCUCUGUAAUGUGGGCGAUCUGGACCAGUCGUAACAAGUUCACCCAUAAUGAGGUUCAGUUCCAGCCUCACAGAUUGAUGGAGCUCAUCAGGGAUCAUGUCCGAAGUCUUGAUUUUCCAAAACCAGGAGUGGAGAGACCAGUUCAGAGGCACACUUGGGAGGCGCCGGAGCAUGGUUGGAUGAAACUGAAUUCUGACGGGGUGGUUGAUCAGGUGCUGCAACGUUCUGGAACGGGAAUAGUUGUGUGA